rnacentral:rRNA from 1 species
UCAGUCGACUCCUACGGGGAGGCAGCAGUGGGGAAUAUUGCACAAUGGGGGGAAACCCUGAUGCAGCCAUGCCGCGUGUGUGAAGAAGGCCUUCGGGUUGUAAAGCACUUUCAGUAGGGAGGAAGGUAGUGUAGUUAACACCUGCAUUAUUUGACGUUACCUACAGAAGAAGCACCGGCUAACUCCGUGCCAGCAGCCGCGGUAAUACGGAGGGUGCGAGCGUUAAUCGGAAUUACUGGGCGUAAAGCGCAUGCAGGCGGCCUGUUAAGUCAGAUGUGAAAGCCCGGGGCUUAACCUCGGAAUUGCAUUUGAAACUGGCAGGCUAGAGUCUUGUAGAGGGGGGUAGGAAUUUCAGGUGUAGCGGUGAAAUGCGUAGAGAUCUGAAGGAAUACCAGUGGCGAAGGCGGCCCCCUGGACAAAGACUGACGCUCAGAUGCGAAAGCGUGGGGAGCAAACAGGAUUAGAUACCCUGGUAG